rnacentral:rRNA from 1 species
CCUACGGGUGGCAGCAGUGGGGAAUAUUGCUCAAUGGGGGAAACCCUGAAGCAGCAACGCCGCGUGGAGGAUGAAGGUUUUCGGAUUUUUAACUCCUUUUGUUAGAGAAGAAAAUGCCGGUACCUAACGAAUAAGCACCGGCUACCUCCGUGCCAGCAGCCGCGGGAAUACGGAGGGUGCAAGCGUUACCCGGAUUCACUGGGCGUAAAGUGCGCGUAGGCGGGAUUGCAAGUCAGAUGUGAAAGCCUUUGGCUUAACCAUAGAACUGCAGUUGAAACUGUUAGGCUAGAGUGCUGGAGAGGUAGGUGGAAUUCCUGGUGUAGCGGUGAAAUGCGUAGAUAUCAAGAGGAACACCCAUUGCGAAGGCGACUGGCUGGAACGUAACUGACGCUGAGGCGCGAAAGCGUGGGGAGCAAACAGGAUUAGAUACCCUAGUAGUC